rnacentral:lncRNA from 1 species
CCGAAAGUCACUUCCGGACUUGGAGAACGCUCAAAGCGUUGCAGAACGCCUCUGAAUAACGGGGCGUGGUUUUGGUUUAACUGCGUUGGGAAAAAGAAGGCGCAUCUCGCGUCACCUGUAGAAACGUACCAUCUACAUUUCCUGGUUGUAAGAAAACGACAAUAUCCAGAAUUAACAGCGAUUUCAAGACGUAGUACCGCCAGUCGAUUGGAACCACGUAAGAAUAAAAACAAUUCAGCCUCGACCACGCACACAAAUAGACUAAUCCUGCUGCUGACCUUGACACCCGUUUUAGUAGUACAGAUCCCAGAGGCCCAUUGGAUGAAAACUAUCAGCCGGGAACAAGCUCAACAUCAUCUGGUUUGGAUGAGGAAAAAGGACUUCAUGAGGCUGGCAAGAGACAAAGUGUUCAGUCUGAGUCCAAGGUCAUACAGCUCAUGAAGUUCUGCCAGACCAGCUGCCAUUGGCCCAACCAACACAAGACGAUGCACACCAGCUGAAGAACAUUCCGGACCCUGUCUGGAACAUUCAGCCAACAAAACAUCUAUAUUGUUGUACUGAUGUUGUAGUAUAAUGUAGAAUACCUAGUAUACCCACAACUGUAAUGUUGAUUUGAGUAGCAGCAGAAACCAAUAAUGUUGACUUCCAAAUUCUGGAUUAAUUCAUUGUGAUAUUUAAGAAAUGUAUUCAGAAGUAACUUGCUACAAUCUUACUGAUGAAAAAAAAAAAAAAAAUGAUACAGAGAGACCAACCAUUGACGUCAUGGUUUGAACACACCCAGCACGCAAACAAAAAAAUCCCAAAUACCUCUCAUCACUCAUAAUUAUUUAGGGAGACUGGGAAAACACUCCAAAUAGUGUCUAGCUGUGAAUGUUACCUUUAAAAUGUCUGUGCUGGGAAAUGUAUCAAGAUCACCCAUGUUGCACAAGCCUUAAACUUACAUAAAUAUGUAAAUAAUAAUAAUAAUAACUUACCUGACUUCCCUAGUUAAACAACAUUUAAGCCUUAUAGCCUGUCAGGUUGAUUGCAGAAUGUUAGCCUACAUUUCUGAAAUUGUUGAUUAUUUCAUCUCAAGAU